ACUCCUACGGGAGGCAGCAGUGGGGAAUAUUGCACAAUGGGCGCAAGCCUGAUGCAGCCAUGCCGCGUGUGUGAAGAAGGCCUUCGGGUUGUAAAGCACUUUCAGUCGUGAGGAAGGUGGUGUAGUUAAUAGCUGCAUCAUUUGACGUUAGCGACAGAAGAAGCACCGGCUAACUCCGUGCCAGCAGCCGCGGUAAUACGGAGGGUGCGAGCGUUAAUCGGAAUUACUGGGCGUAAAGCGCAUGCAGGUGGUUUGUUAAGUCAGAUGUGAAAGCCCGGGGCUCAACCUCGGAAUAGCAUUUGAAACUGGCAGACUAGAGUACUGGUAGAGGGGGUAGAAUUUCAGGUGUAGCGGUGAAAUGCGUAGAGAUCUGAAGGAAUACCGGUGGCGAACGGCGGCCCCCGAUGGACAGAUACUGACACUCAGAUGCGAAAGCGUGGGAGCAAACAGGAUUAGAUACCCCGUGGUAGGACAGUG
rnacentral:rRNA from 1 species